rnacentral:rRNA from 1 species
GACGAACCGUGCGAACGUUGUUCGGAAUCACUGGGCUUAAAGGGCGCGUAGGCGGACCUCCAAGUCCGGGGUGAAAGCUUUCGGCUUAACCGGAAAAGUGCCUUGGAUACUGGAGGUCUUGAGGGAGGUAGGGGCAGCUGGAACUUCCGGUGGAGCGGUGAAAUGCGUUGAUAUCGGAAGGAACGCCGGUGGCGAAAGCGGGCUGCUGGAUCUCUACUGACGCUGAGGCGCGAAAGCCAGGGGAGCGAACGGG